AUGUAUUGCGGUAAAAGCCGUGAUGCUACCAUUGUGCUUGAGGCCGUAGCAUCUCAGGACACAUGGAUUUGGCAUGCAUUCUUUGGGUUGCCGGGAACACUCAAUGAUAUCGAUAUCCUCAAUAGAUCUCCUUUGUUCAAAAGAUUAAUUUCUAGGGAUGCUCCAGCUUGCAACUACAAAAUCAUGGACAAUGAGUACUCAAUGGGAUACUAUCUCACCGAUGGCAUCUAUCUCGAAUGGGCAACUCUUGUGAAGUCCAUCAAGGAGAAAAAUGGGGUGCCCUUAACAAGAAAAGAGGCUCAUUUCACCAAGGCACAAGAGGCAGCCCGCAAGGAUAUUGAGAGAGCUUUCGGUGUUUUGCAAGCAAGGUUUGCCAUAGUUCGUGGUCCAGCUCGGUUUUGGGACAAAAAAACCUUGAUGAACAUCAUGAAAUAUUGUGUGAUUCUACACAACAUGAUCCUAGAGGAUGAAAGAGGGUUAAACCUCCCUUGUUUCUAUGACAAUGUUGGUACCCGUGUGCAACCGGAAAGAAAUCCUUCUCGCAUACACGCUUUUCUUCAAGCACAUCGUGAGAUUGAGGAUGCAACCACUCAUGGUCGGCUCCGGGAUGAUCUAAUAGAGCACCACUGGCAGUUGGAUGGGCGGCGUUGGGGUUGA
rnacentral:rRNA from 1 species